GUGGGGAAUAUUGGGCAAUGGGCGAAAGCCUGACCCAGCAACGCCGCGUGAAGGAAGAAGGUUUUCGGAUCGUAAACUUCUAUCCUUGGUGAAGAUAAUGACGGUAGCCAAGAAGGAAGCCCCGGCUAACUACGUGCCAGCAGCCGCGGUAAUACGUAGGGGGCAAGCGUUGUCCGGAAUGAUUGGGCGUAAAGGGCGCGUAGGCGGCCCGGUAAGUCUGAAGUGAAAGUCCUGCUUUUAAGGUGGGAAUUGCUUUGGAUACUGUCGGGCUUGAGUGCAGGAGAGGUAAGCGGAAUUCCCGGUGUAGCGGUGAAAUGCGUAGAGAUCGGGAGGAACACCAGUGGCGAAGGCGGCGUACUGGACUGUAACUGACGCUGAGGCGCGAAAGUGUGGGGAGCAAACAGGAUUAGAUACCCGGGUAGUCC
rnacentral:rRNA from 1 species